GCGGAAUUGAACAUGUCCCCUUUUAUCAAUGUAAGAAUCAAGAAAUAAAAUAAAUAAAAAUGGGGUUGAGAAGAAAGGAAGGACUGAAAAAGAGAUCAUAGAAAAAAAAAAAAAAAAACCUGUAAAACUGCUCUUUAACCCACUUUUCAACCGUUUCCACCGUUUCCUUUAACGAUAAAACAAAAAUCAAGACCUUGUGUGAAUGCGAUGUGACUAAACCUAGCAGGCAGUCUUCUCUCUCUGCACAACCAAUAGCUCUCUCUCUUGGAUUUGUUGCUUGAAGAAGAUAGUUUUUGUUUUAGGGAGAGAAGGAGAAGAGGAAAGAUCAUCAUUAUCUUAGCCGUUAAUUCUAAAAGGAGCUGUAUUGAUUGACAAUUGAUCCAAUGGACACUGCAGCGAGUCAAUAACCAUCGUCUCCAUCAAUUAUGUAUUAUGAUUUUCUUUAUAAAAUGCGAAACCCUGCUUCACUCAAUCUUGUCAAGUCUAUUAAAAGCUUCAUUGUAUCAUUCCUAUUUUCGUCUGCCAGCCCUGAAAACAAUAGCAAAAAGGUACAAGAGUUUUUCUGGGCAAUGGAAGCAGCUAUCAUUGAACAUCCGUUAUGAGCAGGGAUUGGAGAAAUAUGUCAUGAAAAAAUUGUUCUCCUGAACAUUUGCUACUUCUCCUGAGGAUUUGGAGAUUGACCAGGAGAUCUCAGAGAAGAUACACUUUUUGCAAUCCUUUUUGCGGUCUGAGCAUUUGGAUAUUCCUGUAUUUCUUCAGAAUGAAGCUUCAUGGCUGCUUGCAGAAAAGGAAUUGCAGAAGAUCAACGCUUUCGAAGCUCCUCGGGAGAAGCUUCUCUGUAUUAUGAGUUGUUGCAUGAUCAUCAACAAUUUGCUGCUCAAUUCAUCAAUGUGAGAAAAUCAAGUAGUAGGAGGGCCUAAUGACUUUCUUCCUGUUCUUAUACAUGUUGCAAUCAA